AUUGAACGCUGGCGGAAUGCUUUACACAUGCAAGUCGAGCGGCAGCGCGGGGGCAACCCUGGCGGCGAGCGGCGAACGGGUGAGUAACAUAUCGGAACGUACCCCGUCGUGGGGGAUAACACAGCGAAAGCUGUGCUAAUACCGCAUACGACCGAGAGGUGAAAGCGGGGGACCGCAAGGCCUCGCGCGAUUGGAUGAGCCGACGUCGGAUUAGCUAGUUGGCGGGGUAAAGGCCCACCAAGGCGACGAUCCGUAGCUGGUCUGAGAGGAUGAUCAGCCACACUGGAACUGAGACACGGUCCAGACUCCUACGGGAGGCAGCAGUGGGGAAUAUUGGACAAUGGGCGCAAGCCUGAUCCAGCAAUGCCGCGUGUGUGAAGAAGGCC
rnacentral:rRNA from 1 species